AGAGUUUGAUCAUGGCUCAGAACGAACGCUGGCGGUAUGCUUAACACAUGCAAGUCGAACGAGAAAAUCCCCUCGGGGAUGAUUAGAGUGGCGCACGGGUGAGUAAUACGUAGAUAACCUACCUCCUAGUCUAGGAUAACUUUUUGAAAAGAAAGCUAAUACUGGAUAAUAAGAAUAAACGAAUGUUUUUUCUUUAAAAGAAUUUCGCUGAGAGAUGGGUCUGCGCAACAUUAGCUUGUUGGUGAGGUAACGGCUCACCAAGGUUACGAUGUUUAGCGGGUCUGAGAGGAUGGCCCGCCACACUGGAACUGAGAUACGGUCCAGACUCCUACGGGAGGCAGCAGUGGGGAAUCUUGCGCAAUGGGCGAAAGCCUGACGCAGCAAUACCGCGUGGGUGAAGAAGGUCUUCGGAUCGUAAAGCCCUUUAUAUAAGCGAGGAUAAUGACGUUAGCUUAUGAAUAAGCACCGGCUAACUCCGUGCCAGCAGCCGCGGUAAUACGGAGGGUGCGAGCGUUGUUCGGAUUUACUGGGCGUAAAGAGCACGUAGGCGGCUUGAAAAGCCAAGGGUGAAAUCCCAGAGCUCAACUCUGGAACUGCUCUUGGAACUUUCAGGCUUGAGAUAGUUAGAGGCAAGUGGAAUUCCUGGUGUAGAAGUGAAAUUCGUAGAUAUCAGGAGGAACACCAGUGGCGAAGGCGACUUGCUGGAGCUAGUCUGACGCUGAGGUGCGAAAGCGUAGGUAGCAAACAGGAUUAGAUACCCUGGUAGUCUACGCCCUAAACAAUGAGUGUCAGCUGUAUGUGGCUUCGAAUCCACAUGUGGCGCAGCUAACGCGAUGAACACUCCGCCUGGGAAGUACGGUCGCAAGACUAAAACUCAAA
rnacentral:rRNA from 1 species